GAUGAACGCUGGCGGCGCGCCUAACACAUGCAAGUCGAAGGGCACCCCUCCUCGGAGGGAAGCGAGUGGCGAACGGCUGAGUAACACGUGGAGAACCUGCCCCCUCCCCCGGGAUAGCCGCCCGAAAGGACGGGUAAUACCGGAUACCCCGGGGUGCCGCAUGGCACCCCGGCUAAAGCCCCGACGGGAGGGGAUGGCUCCGCGGCCCAUCAGGUAGACGGCGGGGUGACGGCCCACCGUGCCGACAACGGGUAGCCGGGUUGAGAGACCGACCGGCCAGAUUGGGACUGAGACACGGCCCAGACUCCUACGGGAGGCAGCAGUGGGGAAUCUUGCGCAAUGGGGGGAACCCUGACGCAGCGACGCCGCGUGCGGGACGGAGGCCUUCGGGUCGUAAACCGCUUUCAGCAGGGAAGAGUCAAGACUGUACCUGCAGAAGAAGCCCCGGCUAACUACGUG
rnacentral:rRNA from 1 species